rnacentral:lncRNA from 1 species
CACCAUGGAUGUGGCUCUGCCUGCUUUUCCUCUGAGGGGAGAAGGCAGCACCGGCCAGCCAUGGCCUUCACACUGGAGGGUGCUUCCAAGCUCUUGACUUUUGCUUUUGGCCCUUGCCUUUGUGGUAGGUGGGAAUCUGUCGCCCUGGAGACUUCGGGUCUGAUGUCUCGCACCUAAAUCUUCACAAGACCUUCUGCAUUCCCCACGGAGGAGGUGGUCCUGGCAUGGGGCCCAUCGGAGUGAAGAAACAUCUCGCCCCGUUUUUGCCCAAUCAUCCCGUCAUUUCACUAAAGCGGAAUGAGGAUGCCUGUCCUGUGGG